rnacentral:lncRNA from 1 species
GGAAUAUGUUACACUUCUAGUUUCCCUGUGAGCAAGAGCUGAGAGGAAAUACAGCAAAUGGGUAAAUUCUAUGCUGUUUUGGAAUGUAAGCAGAAAUUACUAUGAAGGCUUGUAAACUGCAUGGUAUAUGGUCUUAGUCUUAACUGGAGUAUUUUCUGUUAUGCAUCUCUGAAGUCUAGAGCCAAAGAAAGAUGACGGGAAUAAGCUUGUCUUCCAGCUGAGGAGCUGUUGAUCUUGACUAUGCGAUGACAAAAUAGCUGCUAUCUAUAUUGACAGCAGUUAGUAGUGUAAUAGGAACAAGUGGACAGCACUAAUGAUCCCAGUUGAAUGUUAGCUAUUGGGAGUGGUGGGGUGAAAUGUUUUAAACUGGUUUGCUAAUAGGAACUGAAUGUCAUUUGGUGCUUGAAGAGCAUCAGAGUGGAAUUGGAGCAGAAUUUUGCACACCAAGAUUGUUCCAUACUGAAUCACAGCAUGCCCAGGAGAUUUGCUCCAGAAUGAGUUGAUGGUUGGACCUGAUGACCUUAGAAGUAUUUUUCCAGUCUUCUAUACGCUAUUCUAAACAGUCUAAAAUGGACUGUAGAGUACGUGUUUUUGCUUUGUAAUGCUUUCCACUUUUUUCAUUAUAGCUCUAACUUCUCUUCAAAAAGGGAAAGGUAGGAUUGAAGAGCUCUCUUUAAGCUGAAGGAAUCACUGAUUCAUGUCUGAACAGUGCGAGUUGAAGGGUCACAGCAGUGUGCUGGGCUUCAACCUCCGAACUAAUCUUGGUGGGGAAGUUUUAUUUGAUUAAAUGAACAAAGUACUUUCCGGAUGCUGCAACAGGCAGCAUCACAUCAUUCAGCCUCACGCUGAUACAGAUCUCAGUUGCAAUAGAUUUACUGCCCCCAGCUGAGUUGCUCAUCAGAGCCCGCAACCAUUUUAAGUUUAUAUUUCUUCUUCUCUCUGGUUCGUCUUUCAUUUUUACCAGUCCAGCAUCAGCCAAAAGAUUAAGGCAUCAGCAGUUUUUAAGUCACUUUGCUUUAAGGAAACAGCACAGUUAGUUACAUGUGUUCCAGAUUCUGGGUCUUUAUACUCUGAAGUUAAGAACUAUGCGGAAUGUAUCUAUUAAGUGACACAACGGUUAUGUGAAAACAUCAAAAUCUUUGGAUAUAGACUAGAAACAGAACUGAGCUUAGACUCUGAAACAAGAGCAAGUUAUUAUUAAUUAAAGCUUCAGAUGCUUCACGGGGGCUGGUUAUUUCCUGACCAACAAGCCUACUGGUUGCUUUCAGUUUCAAAUAUCUAACAAAAAACAUCUUAAAUACCGAGAGGAACAGGCACUAGCUGCAAUAAUCUGUUGGAGAAGGAGAGCUGAUACAGAGAAGCACUCCUCCAUGGUACAUUUUUCUUAAAGUUCCAUUACCUUUGAAAGAAAAAAAAAAAACAAACAAAAAAAAACUGAUCCAAACUACUACUACAAGAACAGAAAGAAGAUUGGCUUAACUCUGUGAACCCCAUAAAGAUAGAGGAUGACGGUACUCACUUGCCUAAGUAGUUUUCUAAAGAAACUAAUGAGGUUUAUUUUGCCUUAAAAUAAGGCAUGGUGUUUAUUAUAGGACAAGCUGAGCUAGAGGAAUGAGUUUAUGCUGAAGUCUUUGACAUAAUAUUGCCUUACUACAAGGAAAAGAAAGCCGAUUAGAGGAGCAGUGUCUUGUCUUGCCCUAUCUUACUGCCUCAUGCUGCUGGAGAUGCAGCCAAGCCAUGACAGCUGGGAAACAAGCUAGCUACAGCACAAUGGCUGAAGGAAGAUAUCCAUGACCAGACAGCAAUAAGGCUGCAGCUGAAAGUCUGGUUGCCACAAAAAAAAAAAAAAAAAAACAAAAACAACACCACACAAAUUACUCACAUAGGCUUCGGUUUGAGUUUACAGUUGCAAUUUAUCGCGUUUUAUAACCUUGAGAAGUUUGAGUUACUAGGCUCAUAAGUUUGUAAGUGUACUGGGUUUAUAACGGCCGUUGCGUUUGAGACCGUGUGCUAAACAAACAAAAAUCUGAACCAGUGCCUCCUAAAGCAUGAAUCAUGUUUGGUUUAGACAUGUAUUUCAUUAACCAUUUUAUGCCAGACUAAUCACACUUUCAUUAAAAUCUAGCUACAGUGGUGCAGUCUGAGGCUAGGAGCAGGAAGUUCACUUUGUUAUUGCUGAGCAGAUGUUAAGCUCCUAUUCCUCUUGUCACAGCUCAAGUUGAGACCGGUGUGUUGAAGAAGUAUUGCCAUCCUGAGGGAAAACUGAAGUGUUUUCUUCCUGCACUCUCCUUGUGAACCACCUCCCUCCUCCCUCCACCUACAACACAGCUGCAUGAAAGAGUUCAGUCUGAUUGCAGAUUAAGCCACAGAAGUUCGAAUGGAGGUUAUAGUUGGAGCAAAACAGCUGCCUUGUAAAGGUUGAGGCUCUUCUGUGUGUGUGUGUGUGUAUGUGCUUCAUUCACAGCCCAAGGAAAUGGAAGUUCUGGCUUUGCCUGGAGAUUUGAUGCUCAGUCCUGCAAGACUGGAUAUUGCCAGUCACCACCGGUUAUACUGUAGCCAUCUUCAUCUGAAAGUCAUUUUUCAUAGGAUGCCAGAAACAAUGUGUUCAAGUUCUCCUUGCUCCCUUCCACUCACGCUUGUGUUCUCCAGAGGUCACAUAGUGUUACAGAUUUGUUUAGGUACUCCAUGAAGUUUAAUUUAAAUUAGUCACUUAUUCCUGCAUACUUGAAUAGAGGGCUUCAAUCUGCUUCUGGAAGACUUUAACAAGCUCUGCUCUCUUCGCCUUCAGCGUUGGCGUCAAGAGUCCAUUUUCUACAGAGAACAGCUCUGUGUGGAUGUACAGGUCUUUAACCUAUUAAAAGAAUACAGUUUCACAAGUGACACUUAGAGCAUAAGCAACAGCUCUUCCCAGCCUUCUCAAGCUUAGCACAAUUCAGUCUCGAGAGCUCUAGUAACUAAACUGCUUCUCUGACACAGGAAUUAAACUCCUGACUGAGAGUCAGCCUGUGGGAAACCUACAUUUCAUUCCAUAGCAAUUGCAUCUGUUGCCAUAUGCAUGCAUGUGCUUCUUGGUCAAGAGACAGGUAACCAGCAGUGCUUCCAUGCCUACUGCAUUCAGUUGUCCUGAGCAGCUGUCUUAGGUCCCAUUCCAGCAAGAAUACAGACUUCCCAGCCAUUGUAUUAGCAAUAGAAGCACUUGUGACAAGCAGGAUUUGAAAGUACUCACUUGUUCAAAGGACUUAAGGCCGGCUGCUUUCCCCAGUCUAACCAGAUCUUCUAAAAUAGCUUUCUUCACUGCCUGGAAGAGACAGGAGCAGUGUGGGUAAAGCUGCCAUUUGGUAAUUGGCUCAGGACCACAACCAUUGCCCAGUCAGAGAGAAGUGAGGUUGGCAAGAAUACAUGUAUAUCUUUCAGCAUUCAAAAUUUCUCACAUUAAGACCAUGACAAGAACAUACAUAUCUUCUCACUGGAAAAUAUGGAGUUACAGUCCUUGAAACUUCCAGGAACAUCUAUAUUAGUUCCAUCUUCUACUUUAAGGAUGUUUGCGCGAUUCACACAGCGUUAAGCCAAUUUAAUUUAUAAAAAGGUGGGUAAAAAAAUGAAGCCAAGGCAAUGCAUGAUUGGAUUUCAGAAUAAAAAUCUACCUAUAACCCAUUGAAAAGGUGAGGCCACUCACUGGAUUUUUGCAGAUAUCUUCAUAGGAACCCUUUAUUCCCAGUUUUGCUGCAAAUUCUGGAAGUGUCUCAGCAUCAGGAACCACUAUACCUAUUAAACAAGACCGCAGGCUUUCCCCAUGUACAAAGACUUGGGCUACAGCAACACUUCUGAUAUAGACAUUUUCUAUCUUCUCUGGAGCAAUGUAUUCUCCUUGUGCGAGUUUAAAUAUGUUUUUCUUCCUAUCAAUGAUCUUCAGCGUUCCAUU